rnacentral:rRNA from 1 species
AGAUACCCUGGUAGUCCACGCCGUAAACGAUGUCGACUUGGAGGUUGUGCCCUUGAGGCGUGGCUUCCGGAGCUAACGCGUUAAGUCGACCGCCUGGGGAGUACGGCCGCAAGGUUAAAACUCAAAUGAAUUGACGGGGGCCCGCACAAGCGGUGGAGCAUGUGGUUUAAUUCGAUGCAACGCGAAGAACCUUACCUGGUCUUGACAUCCACGGAAGUUUUCAGAGAUGAGAAUGUGCCUUCGGGAACCGUGAGACAGGUGCUGCAUGGCUGUCGUCAGCUCGUGUUGUGAAAUGUUGGGUUAAGUCCCGCAACGAGCGCAACCCUUAUCCUUUGUUGCCAGCGGUCCGGCCGGGAACUCAAAGGAGACUGCCAGUGAUAAACUGGAGGAAGGUGGGGAUGACGUCAAGUCAUCAUGGCCCUUACGACCAGGGCUACACACGUGCUACAAUGGCGCAUACAAAGAGAAGCGACCUCGCGAGAGCAAGCGGACCUCAUAAAGUGCGUCGUAGUCCGGAUUGGAGUCUGCAACUCGACUCCAUGAAGUCGGAAUCGCUAGUAAUCGUGGAUCAGAAUGCCACGGUGAAUACGUUCCCGGGCCUUGUACACACCGCCCGUCACACCAUGGGAGUGGGUUGCAAAAGAAGUAGGUAGCUUAACCUUCGGGAGGGCGCUUACCACUUUGUGAUUCAUGACUGGGGUGAAGUCGUAACAAGGUAACCGUAGGGGAACCUGCGGUUGGAUCACCUCCUUACCUUAAAGAAGC